rnacentral:rRNA from 1 species
GUCUACGGCCAUGCCAUCCUGAAAAAGCCUGAUUCCGUCUGAUCUUGGAAGCUAAGCAGGGUUGGGCAUGGUUAGUACUUGGAUGGGAGACCACCUGGGAAGACCAGGAGCUAUAGGCA